AACGCCUUCCAAUCCAAACCCUGGGGGACUUGUUGGUGAUUCUGAUGAUUGUUAGCGCUGGAUUAGCAAAUAAGAAAACGGUUCCUUGCAAAGGUGGAAAAGGCAAGUGGGCCCCACACCCUAGGCCACCCACGCCGCGAGAAGUAGAAUCCGGUCAUCCGCCAUUUUCGCGCUAAACCAGCCCAACUCAAAACCAAACCGCCGCAAAAUUUUCUCCGAUCCAUUUGAGAGUCAUCGUCGCCGCCGCCGCCGCCGCCACCGCUGAGAGGGAUCCGGUCGCCGGUUCAUGGCUGGUGCAGCGGCGGAAAUGGGGCGAGGAGCCGGCGCCGGGAGCGUUGAACGCAUCGAGUAUCUCUUCCUGCCGGGGUACGACUCUUCAGGGGUGGACAUCAGCACAACCUCAAGUUGGAAGUGACAAUGUGAUGCCGCAAUCACGAACACAAGACACGUGGAUAACCCUGAUGUUCUGAACGAAGGCAUUUGUAUGAUCCAAAAGUGAUCAUUUAAGUCAUUUAUUUCAAGGUAUAUCGUCCCUUGCUUAUCAAGGUGGAUCUGUGUAUGUUUUUAGCAAAUACUCCCGCCGUCCCAAAAUAAGUGACUCGACUUUGUAC